GCUGAGACUUUGGUCACAUCCUGACAUGGCACUUAUCCUGGCGUGCUAGAGCUCUUGAAGAAAAUCUGCUGGUCUUCAUUCACUGAUAGGCGUCUUCAGUGUCCCUGUUAGUGCCCAGAUUAGAAACAUGU
ensembl:snoRNA LOC120094452 small nucleolar RNA SNORA3/SNORA45 family